rnacentral:lncRNA from 13 species
UACUUUUUUAAUUAUAUGAGGAUUUUUUCUUUUUUUUUUAAAUUAAACAUAAAAAUUUAAAUAUAUUUCAGUAGUCCUGAAAGAAUGAAGAUGAAAGAAAGAAGGAAUACUAUUGAGAGGGAAAGGAGAAUACAGUGAGUGACUUUAAUGAUUUCUCGAGGUUGUUUUAAUAGAGUACGUCUGCCGUUGCAUCAUCACUGUAUACUGGGUGUCCAACUGAUAACAACCGUUGAUAAAUUUUUAAAUAAUUUUGUAGAUUUUCCUUCAGCGAAGUUGUGACAUGCAGUUAUGUACACAUAUCUCUAAAAGGAAAAGAAAAGAAGGAAAAAAUAAAAACAAAAAGGAAGACCAGA